rnacentral:rRNA from 1 species
AUUGAACGCUGGCGGCAGGCCUAACACAUGCAAGUCGAACGAGUGGCGGACGGGUGAGUAAUGUCUGGGAAACUGCCCGAAGGAGGGGGAUAACUACUGGAAACGGUAGCUAAUACCGCAUACCAUCGGAGGUGCCCAGAUGGGAUUAGCUAGUGGGUGGGGUAAUGGCUCCCCUAGGCGAGGAUCCCUAGCUGGUCUGAGAGGAUGACCAGCACACCUGUAAUGGAGACACGGCCAAGACUCCUCCGGGAGGCAGAAGUGGGGAACAUUGCACAAUGGGCGAAAGCCUGAUGCAGCCAGGCCGCGUGUAUGAAGAAGGCCUCCGGUUGUUAAAGUACUUUCAGCGAGGAGGCGUUACUCGCAGAAGAAGCACCGGCUAACUCCGUGCCAGCAGCCGCGGUAAUUC